UAGGCAGAAGCCAAGUGGUUAUGGCAUCUAGCUGUUAACUAGAAUUUUAUGGGAUCGAGGCCCAUCUGCCUAG
ensembl:Mt_tRNA